UACAUGUGGGGCAAGCGUUGUUCGGAUUUACUGGGCGUAAAGCGCACGUAGGCGGAUCGUUAAGUCGGGGGUGAAAGCCUGUGGCUCAACCACAGAAUUGCCUUCGAUACUGUUUGGCUUGAGUAUGGCAGAGGUCAGUGGAACUGCGAGUGUAGAGGUGAAAUUCGUAGAUAUUCGCAAGAACACCAGUGGCGAAGGCGGCUGACUGGGCCAUUACUGACGCUGAGGCGCGAAAGCGUGGGGAGCAAACAGG
rnacentral:rRNA from 1 species